GAUGAAUGCUGGCGGCGUGCCUAAUACAUGCAAGUCGUACGGAAAGGCCCUUCGGGGUACUCGAGUGGCGGACGGCUGAGUAACGCGUGGGAACGUGCCCCAAAGUGAGGGAUAAGCACCGGAAACGGUGUCUAAUACCGCAUAUGGUCUUCGGAUUAAAGCUUCGGCGCUUUGGGAGCGGCCCGCGUACGAUUAGAUAGUUGGUAGGGUAAUGGCCUACCAAGUCGACGAUCGUUAACUGGUCUGAGAGGAUGAUCAGUCAGACUGGAACUGAGACACGGUCCAGACUCCUACGGGAGGCAGCAGUAAGGAAUCUUCCACAAUGGGGGCAACCCUGAUGGAGCAACGCCGCGUGCAGGAUGAAGGCCUUCGGGUCGUAAACUGCUUUUAUGAGUGAAGAAUAUGACGGUAACUCAUGAAUAAGCACCGGCUAACUACGUGCCAGCAGCCGCGGUAA
rnacentral:rRNA from 1 species